rnacentral:rRNA from 1 species
UACGGGGGGAGCAAGCGUUGUUCGGAUUUACUGGGCGUAAAGGGCGCGUAGGCGGCCACGUCAAGUCAGUUGUGAAAUCUCUGGGCUUAACUCAGAACGGUCAACUGAUACUGUCGGGCUAGAGUGCAGAAGGGGCAACUGGAAUUCUCGGUGUAGCGGUGAAAUGCGUAGAUAUCGAGAGGAACACCUGCGGCGAAGGCGGGUUGCUGGGCUGACACUGACGCUGAGGCGCGAAAGCUAGGGGAGCAAACGGG